CGCGGCCUAUCAGCUUGUUGGUGAGGUAACGGCUCACCAAGGCUUCGACGGGUAGCUGGUCUGAGAGGACGAUCAGCCACACUGGGACUGAGACACGGCCCAGACUCCUACGGGAGGCAGCAGUGGGGAAUCUUGCACAAUGGGCGAAAGCCUGAUGCAGCAACGCCGCGUGAGGGACGAAGGCUUUCUGAGUUGUAAACCUCUUUCAGCAGGGACGAUUGUGACGGUACCUGCAGAAGAAGCCCCGGCCAACUACGUGCCAGCAGCCGCGGUGAUACGUAGGGGGCAAGCGUUGUCCGGAUUUAUUGGGCGUAAAGAGCUCGUAGGCGGCUUGGCAAGUCGGAUGUGAAACCUCCAGGCUCAACCUGGAGUCGCCAUUCGAUACUGCCAUGGCUAGAGUUUGGUAGGGGACCACGGAAUUCCUGGUGUAGCGGUGUAAUGCGCAGAUAUCAGGAGGAACACCAGCGGCGAAGGCGGUGGUCUGGGCCAAUACUGACGCUGAGGAGCGAAAGCGUGGGGAGCGAACAGGAUUAGAUACCCUGGUAGUCCACGCCGUAAACGUUGGGCACUAGGUGUGGGGACCUAUCGACGGUUUCUGUGCCGCAGCUAACGCAUUAAGUGCCCCGCCUGGGGAGUA
rnacentral:rRNA from 1 species